rnacentral:rRNA from 1 species
UUGAACGCUGGCGGCAUGCCUUACACAUGCAAGUCGAACGGUAGAGGGGCAACCCUUGAGAGUGGCGAACGGGUGAGUAAUAUAUCGGAACGUGCCCAGUCGUGGGGGAUAACGCAGCGAAAGCUGCGCUAAUACCGCAUACGAUCUAUGGAUGAAAGCGGGGGAUCGCAAGACCUCGCGCGAUUGGAGCGGCCGAUAUCAGAUUAGGUAGUUGGUGGGUAAAGCCCACCAAG